GACGGAGGAUGCAAGCGUUAUCCGGAAUGAUUGGGCGUAAAGCGUCCGCAGGUGGCAGUUCAAGUCUGCUGUCAAAGACCGGGGCUUAACUUCGGAAAGGCAGUGGAAACUGAACAGCUAGAGUAUGGUAGGGGCAGAGGGAAUUCCUGGUGUAGCGGUGAAAUGCGUAGAGAUCGGAAGGAACGUCGAUGGCGAAGGCAGGUCUCUGGGCCACUACUGACGCUGAGAAGCGAAAGCAUGGGGAGCGAACAGG
rnacentral:rRNA from 1 species